rnacentral:rRNA from 1 species
GGGGAAUAUUGCACAAUGGGGGAAACCCUGAUGCAGCAACGCCGCGUGAGAGAAGAAGGCCUUCGGGUUGUAAAUCUCUGUCAUUGGGGACGAUAAUGACGGUACCCAAGGAGGAAGCCACGGCUAACUACGUGCCAGCAGCCGCGGUAAUACGUAGGUGGCGAGCGUUGUCCGGAAUUACUGGGCGUAAAGGAUGCGUAGGCGGAAAGAUAAGUGAGAUGUGAAAUACCCGGGCUUAACCUGGGGGGUGCAUUUCAAACUGUUUUUCUAGAGUGCAGGAGAGGAAAGUGGAAUUUCUAGUGUAGCGGUGAAAUGCGUAGAUAUUAGGAAGAACACCAGUGGCGAAGGCGACUUUCUGGACUGUAACUGACGCUGAGGCAUGAAAGCGUGGGGAGCAAAC